rnacentral:rRNA from 1 species
GACGUAGGGCGCGAGCGUUGUCCGGAUUUAUUGGGCGUAAAGAGCUCGUAGGCGGUUGUCGCGUCUGCUGUGAAAACCCGAGGCUCAACCUCGGGCCUGCAGUGGGUACGGGCAGACUAGAGUGCGGUAGGGGAGACUGGAAUUCCUGGUGUAGCGGUGAAAUGCGCAGAUAUCAGGAGGAACACCGGUGGCGAAGGCGACUACCUGGCCUGUUCUUGACGCUGGAGGCGCGAAA